rnacentral:rRNA from 1 species
UACCUGCAGCUCGAGUGGUAACCGCUAUUAUUGGGCCUAAAGCGUCCGUAGCCGGUUUGGUAAAUAUCUGGGUAAAUCGUGAGGCUUAACUUCACGAAUUUCGGAUAGACUGCCAGACUUGGGAUCGGGGGAGGUCAGAGGUACUCCAGGGGUAGCGGUGAAAUGUUGUAAUCCUUGGAGGACCACCGGUAGCGAAGGCGUCUGACUAGAACGAGUCCGACGGUGAGGAACGAAGCCCUGGGGCGCAAACCGGAUUAGAUACCCGGGUAGUCCAGGGUGUAAACGAUGUGGGCUUUGUAUUGGAGGUCCCACGUGGGCGUCCAGUGCAGAAGAGAAGUUGUUAAGCCCACCGCCUGGGAAGUACGGUCGCAAGGCUGAAACUUAAAGGAAUUGGCGGGGGAGCACAGCAACGGGAGGAGCGUGCGGUUU